AAAGGGAGACCUAAUUCAGGUAGGAGACGAAAAAAAGUAGUCCCUACCAAGAAUCAAUCCCAAAAGGUCGGAGCGAGGCAAAAUUGGCUUUCAAACUAGGUUCUGGGUUCACAUAAGACCUGAAUCAGGAACAAGGGCUAUUAGCUCAGGUGGUUAGAGCGCACCCCUGAUAAGGGUGAGGUCCCUGGUUCGAGUCCAGGAUGGCCCACCUGCACAGGUGGCAAAAACAAAGAAAAGAAGCUCCGAAUCAGCACCUUAUCUUACUCAUAUAGUAAGAGAGAAUGCUGGCUCUGAGUACAGAGUCCAGAGGAACCUUGAAAACUGCAUAGAGCUAGGUGAAAAAGCCAAAAAAGAAGACCGCAAG
rnacentral:tRNA from 1 species